GCCCAGUGCCAUCCGCUACACCGACUACCUGACGACCGCGGACUCAACCGGCACACCUAUUACCCCAUCCACGGCGUUUGGGGGACGGAUACAUCUCCACCGCUUUGACAAGAACACAAGACCCCAAUUAACAUGACACCUCAGUAACUGACCUUCAGUAACUCCCUAGAUCAAGGGGGGGCAUACUGGAGCUUUACCCAUACCUACACAGAACCACGAUGGGGGGCAUGCC